GACGAACGCUGGCGGCGUGCCUAAUACAUGCAAGUCGAACGAAGCUGUUUUAACUGGUGCUUGCACCGACUUAAACAACUGAGUGGCGAACGGGUGAGUAACACGUGGGUAACCUGCCCCAAAGCGGGGGAUAACAUUUGGAAACAGAUGCUAAUACCGCAUAACCACAGAAACCACAUGGUUUCUGUGUCAAAGAUGGUUUCGGCUAUCACUUUGGGAUGGACCCGCGGCGUAUUAGCUAGUUGGUAAGGUAAUGGCUUACCAAGGCAAUGAAACGUAGCCGAACUAAGAGGUUGAUCGGCAACAUUGGGACUGAGACACGGCCCAAACUCCUACGGGAGGCAGCAGUAGGGAAGCUUCCACAAUGGACGAAAGUCUGAUGGAGCAACACCGCGUGAGUGAAGAAGGUUUUCGGAUCGUAAAACUCUGUUGUCAGAGAAGAACGUGUGCGAGAGUAACUGUUCGUGCAGUGACGGUAUCUGGCCAGAAAGCCACGGCUAACUACGUGCCAGCCGCCGCGGUAA
rnacentral:rRNA from 1 species